CAAUUUUUUGUUCAAAACUUCAUAGGGCUUAUGACGGCCUUCGUAUAUUGAUCUUGGUUUAAAUAUAAUUUCAGGUCGAAGGCGGUUAUAAUCCUUCUAGAUUGGAGUACUGUAUUAACAUGCUGGACGACAGACUGCCAGACGUGAUUGCACGUGUGUUUGUAGAGGAACAUUUUGUAAAAGAAGAAAGACGUUACAUUUUAGAUUUAGUAGAUCAACACAAGUCAGUAUUUAAAGAUAUAAUCGAGAAUGCCAAAUGGAUAUCGGAUACAGCAAAGACUGCUGCAAAAGAAAAGAUUGAUUCAAUGAAAGUUGAGGUUGGGUAUCCCAAAGAAGUGUUCAAUGAUGCAUAUCUUAAUCAGCUUCACAAAAACUUUAAAGUCAACACCGACAAUCCUCUCCAGACAGCUGUGAGUAUGACCAGGGCAGAAAAGUCUAAUGAAGUUAAAUUGCUUAGAACAACAUAAAAAGAUACUGUGUGGAAGUCUUCAACGUUAGAAAUAAAUGCAUAUAAUUCACUGAGUCUAAAUACAAUCUUUUUUUAUUCCGGAGUACUUCAACCAGGUAUUUAUUCGGAUGAUAGUCCAAAGUAUAUGAAUUAUGGAGGUAUUGGAGCUCUCAUCGGUCAUGAAAUCGCACAUGCAUUUGAAAAUAAAGG